rnacentral:rRNA from 1 species
GACGAACGCUGGCGGCGUGCUUAACACAUGCAAGUCGAACGGAAAGGCCCUGCUUUUGUGGGGUGCUCGAGUGGCGAACGGGUGAGUAACACGUGAGUAACCUGCCCUUGACUUUGGGAUAACUUCAGGAAACUGGGGCUAAUACCGGAUAGGAGCUCCUGCUGCAUGGUGGGGGUUGGAAAGUUUCGGCGGUUGGGGAUGGACUCGCGGCUUAUCAGCUUGUUGGUGGGGUAGUGGCUUACCAAGGCUUUGACGGGUAGCCGGCCUGCGAGGGUGACCGGCCACAUUGUGACUGAGAUACGGCCCAGACUCCUACGGGAGGCAGCAGUGGGGAAUAUUGCACCAUGGGCGGAAGCCUGAUGCAGCAACGCCGCGUGCGGGAUGACGGCCUUCGGGUUGUAAACCGCUUUCGCCUGUGACGAAGCGUGAGUGACGGUAAUGGGUAAAGAAGCACCGGCUAACUACGUG